rnacentral:rRNA from 1 species
GACGAACGCUGGCGGCGUGCCUAAUACAUGCAAGUCGAGCGGGCCUCCGGAGGUGCUUGCACCUCCGGAAGGCCAGCGGCGGACGGGUGAGUGACACGUGGGCAACCUGCCUUUGAGGCCGGGAUAACACCGGGAAACCGGUGCUAAUACCGGAUACGUCCUCUUUCGCGCCUGCGAGAGGGGAGAAAGACGGUCUUUAAGGCCGUCGCUCAAAGAGGGGCCCGCGGCGCAUUAGCUGGUUGGUGGGGUAAGGGCCUACCAAGGCGACGAUGCGUUGCCGACCUGGGAGGGGGAUCGGCCACACUGGGACUGAGACACGGCCCAGACUCCUGCGGGAGGCAGCAGUAGGGAAUCAUCCGCAAUGGGCGAAAGCCUGACGGUGCAACGCCGCGUGAGUGAGGAAGGUUUUCGGAUCGUAAAGCUCUGUUGUGAGGGAAGAACAGCUUCCGGAGGAAAUGCCGGAGGUUUGCCGGUACCUCACCAGAAAGCCCCGGCUAACUACGUGCCAGCCGCCGCCGUAACAC